ACUACGGGGAGCAGCAGUGGGGAAUAUUGCACAAUGGGGGAAACACUGAUGCAGCGACGCCGCGUGAGUGAAGAAGGAAUUCGUUAUGUAAAGCUCUAUCAGCAGGGAAGAAAAUGACGGUACCUGAGUAAGAAGCCACGGCUAACUACGUGCCAGCAGCCGCGGUAAUAGGUAGGGGGCAAGCGUUAUCCGGAGUUACUGGGUGUAAAGGGAGCGUAGACGGCAGUGCAAGUCUGGAGUGAAAGGCGGGGGCUCAACCCCCGGACUGCUCUGGAAACUGUACGGCUGGAGUGCAGGAGAGGUAAGUGGAAUUCCUAGUGUAGCGGUGAAAUGCGUAGAUAUUAGGAGGAACACCAGUUGCGAAGGCGGCUUACUGGACUGUAACUGACGUUGAGGCUCGAAAGCGUGGGGAUCAAACAGGAUUAGAUACCCUUGUAGUC
rnacentral:rRNA from 1 species